CUUUUUACGAUAUAAUACAAAUUAGUAGAAAAGUUAAGACGGUAGCUAUUUCCUGUAAAAGGGGGCGGUGCUUAUGGUGUAAAAGCCUUAGCAAAACCAUAUCCUAAUGAAAGGAGUAGCCAGGGUGUCAGUAUCAGACGCCUUACAACUAAUGUUGGCUUUCGGUACGUUUAUCGUUGCCUUAAUUGCAC
rnacentral:sRNA from 1 species